GUGAACUAAAACUAAAAUAUUAAUUUAACAGGCUAUUUAGAAGUAGUUAAUCCGUUAAAUUAAGAAGCUACUCCAUGAAAGUCCCAAUAGCCGCAUGAAUUGAACUAGCACAAGCAGAAUUUCUUUGAUGCAAUAGGGAGUGUGGUCCACUCCACACAGACUGACUAUUAUUGGGGAAGAGAAUCCCACACAAGCUUGAAAGUUUCGGGUUUUCAACACAUAAGCUCUCAAGCAGCUUAGCCUUCUGAUGUUUAUCUUGUGAGUCCU
rnacentral:lncRNA from 1 species